UGCCAGAGUGUCACAAUAUAAUUGGUCAAAAAGUUGUUUUUAACAUUCUCAUUGGAUAACCUUUAUCAGUUUCCUCCAUGCUUACUUCAUCCUGCUGUGUGUCUACAUCUCUGAAAGUUCUUUUA